AGUGAACGCUGGCGGUAGGCCUAACACAUGCAAGUCGAACGGCAGCACAGUAAGAGCUUGCUCUUACGGUUGGCGAGUGGCGGACGGGUGAGGAAUACAUCGGAAUCUACUUUUUCUUGGGGGAUAACGUAGGGAAACUUACGCUAAUACCGCAUACGACCUACGGGUGAAAGCAGGGGAUCUUCGGACCUUGCGCGAUUGAAUGAGCCGAUUUCGGAUUAGCUAGUUGGCGGGGUAAAGGCCCACCAAGGCGACGAUCCGUAGCUGGUCUGAGAGGUUGAUCAGCCACACUGGAACUGAGACACGGUCCAGACUCCUACGGGAGGCAGCAGUGGGGAAUAUUGGACAAUGGGCGCAAGCCUGAUCCAGCCAUACCGCGUGAGUGAAGAAGGCCUUCGGGUUGUAAAGCCCUUUUGUUGGGAAAGAAAAGCAGCAGGUUAAUACCCCGCUGUUCUGACGGUACCCAAAGAAUAAGCACCGGCUAACUUCGUG
rnacentral:rRNA from 1 species